GGCAGCUAAUACCUAUAGCAGCAACACUAGUAGUACAAUGAUAGAUAUCUCAUUAAUAUCUAAUGCAAUAAAACUGAACCACUACAAAGUAUACUUUUCCUAGGAUACUGUAACUUCCAGAUGAUCAGCUCUUUUGACAACCCAGAAAUGAUGACCAAGUCAAGCUGGUGUUCUGAAUUUACAACAGGUGAAAACUACAGGAUACACUGUACCUGAUAUGCUGGGUGUUAUGUUCUGUGAAUUACAGAAUUCCAAGACUGAAGAUAAUAUUUUGUUCAACAGUAGUUUGAAAGGAAAUAAAACAAUUUUUACAUUUA